rnacentral:rRNA from 1 species
AUGAACGCUGACAGAAUGCUUAACACCUGCAAGUCCCCUUGAACUUCGGUUUGGGUGGCGGACGGGUGAGUAACGCGUAAAGAACUUGCCUCACAGCUAGGGACAACAUUUGGAAACGAAUGCUAAUACCUGAUAUUAUGAUUAUAUGGCAUCGUAUAAUUAUGAAAGCUAUAUGCGCUGUGAGAGAGCUUUGCGUCCCAUUAGCUAGUUGGAGAGGUAACAGCUCACCAAGGCGAUGAUGGGUAGCCGGCCUGAGAGGGUGAUCGGCCACAAGGGGACUAAGACACGGCCCUUACUCCUACGGGAGGCAGCAGUGGGGAAUAUUGGACAAUGGACCGAGAGUCUGAUCCAGCAAUUCUGUGUGCACGAUGAAGUUUUUCGGAAUGUAAAGUGCUUUCAGUUGGGAAGAAAAAAAUGACGGUACCAACAGAAGAAGUGACGGCUAAAUACGUG